GUGGGGAAUAUUGGACAAUGGGGGGAACCCUGAUCCAGCCAUGCCGCGUGUGUGAAGAAGGCCUUUUGGUUGUAAAGCACUUUAAGCGAGGAGGAGGCUACCGAGAUUAAUACUCUUGGAUAGUGGACGUUACUCGCAGAAUAAGCACCGGCUAACUCUGUGCCAGCAGCCGCGGUAAUACAGAGGGUGCAAGCGUUAAUCGGAUUUACUGGGCGUAAAGCGCGCGUAGGUGGACAAUUAAGUCAAAUGUGAAAUCCCCGAGCUUAACUUGGGAAUUGCAUUCGAUACUGGUUGGCUAGAGUAUGGGAGAGGAUGGUAGAAUUCCAGGUGUAGCGGUGAAAUGCGUAGAGAUCUGGAGGAAUACCGAUGGCGAAGGCAGCCAUCUGGCCUAAUACUGACACUGAGGUGCGAAAGCAUGGGGAGCAAACAGGAUUAGAUACCCUAGUAGUCC
rnacentral:rRNA from 1 species